UGCCUACUUCCAAUCCCCUUGGGUUUCAAAGUUUUCUUAGAUCUUUUCAGAGUGUAGCCCGAGUACAAUGGUGGUAAACAAAUUCUGAAAACUUAUUUUGUUUUUUAGAUCUUAUGACAUAGCCUUAGUUUAUAUUACAAAGUUGACUCGAUCUUAUUCUUGUAUAACUAUUGUAAACUAAGAAGAACAAAGCUCUGUGAGGUUAAGAUUGAGACACUCUAAGAUUCUCUUUUGAAGUUGUGUGAGUGCUUCGACCUUUGGUUUUCUUUUUUAUAAUCUUCAGCUAUUUUGGCUUCUAUCUUCAUAAGAAAAUCCAAGAGAUUUCUUCUCAAUCAAGAAUUUAAAUUUAUUUCUUGAUUGAGGAAUGACACCAUAAAGUAUGUUCAUAUCAGAUAUGUCUAUAUGCGGUACAGCUUCAUACAUGUCCAUAUCAAAUAUUUCCAUGUAGAGGGUGUGGUCUUCUUUUCUUUUGCUCCAGUCUUGAUUGAUUCAUUUGCCAUAAUUUUGGGAAGCCAAUAAUAUCCGUGAUAGAUACUGUGAUCUUCUUUCCUUUUUCUCUUAUCUUAAUUGAUUUGCUUGCCAUAAAUCUUAAAAUCCAAUAAUCUCCUUGAUUGAUACUCUUCCAAUCUUGGUGUCGGCUUUCGUAUGAAAAAGUGCUUGCUUUCUUUAUAAAUUGAUUUUUUUUAAUCUUUUGUAUCUUCAGUGUAUCCUAAAAGAUAUUUGUUUAUUAAUUAGUCCUUUUUAAAAAAUAUAGUGAGAAUAUAGGGCUAACAAUCUCCCCUUUUCUAAUAAUGACAAAUAAUAAACAUCAGCUGACUUUCCUGUUUUUGAUGAUGUGCUUCCCUGUCUUGCAAGCGCCUCUGAUGUUCUUGUUUCUAUUUUCUUUGAGCAUCAGUUAACUCUCAUUCUUUGAUAUUUGGCUUGAUCCCCCCGACUUGCAGGCACCUCUGAUGUUCCUCCUUUCGUUGAGCAUCAGUUGACUCUCAUCGUUUGAUAGUCAACUUGCUCCCCUUGACUUACAAGAACCUCUGGUGUUCCUGCCUUUCUCCCCCAUUUGGCAUAAUAAAAAAGAAUAACACAACAGAUAGGAAAAAAAAUUGUAAACAUAUAGUAGAUAAACAAUCUAAUUGAUUACCAAUGAAUAAACAAAAUAAUAAAAAUAUUAUGGCAAACAGUGUGUAAAAAUCAUUUUACAACCUGCCUCCAUCCCCCUCCCAAAAAAAAAGAUAGG
rnacentral:lncRNA from 1 species